AAAUAUGGUUAUCUACUGGUAAGCUUCAGGGAAAUUAUUUACACCAUUAUUGGGUGAACCUUUGGAAACUAUACUUGUGAAUAAAGGUUCAAUAAAUGUUGCGACAUUA
rnacentral:snoRNA from 1 species